rnacentral:snRNA from 1 species
CUACUCCNCUUUGGCAGCACAUGUACUAAAAUUGGAGCAAUACAGAGAAGAUUAGCAAGGCCCCUGAGCAAGAAUGGCAUAUAAAACACUUUGGUUCAACUAAUACCA